CUCACAGAAGUCACACAGAGCUUCACUGAAAGUCACAAUAUUUUUCUCAGGACUUUUCUUUUUAUAGUGAUCUACGAUCUCUCGGAGUGUGGUAUUAAUCUUGAGAUCAGGUCUUUGGUUGAAUGUUUCUUUACAAUAUGGACAGUUGCAGGUCUGGCUGUUGUCCCAGUGUUUAUUCAGACAGGUCUUGCAGAAGUUGUGUCCACACGGAGUGCUGACUGGAUCAGUGAACACGUCCAGACAUAUAGAGCACUGAAGCUCCUCAGUCAGUGGACCACUGGAGGAUGACAUUGCUGGAAACAGAA